rfam:Schistosoma mattheei strain Denwood, Zambia genome assembly, scaffold: SMTD_contig0011672
AGCUUUCUGAAUCCGUGCCGAGAUUUCGUCAGACACUAACUCAUUAGAGUUGGUCAGACUUUCAAGAUAAGUGAAGUU